AAGUCGUAACAAGGUUUCCGUAGGUGAACCUGCGGAAGGAUCAUUAACACGUUAUCCACGUAUCAACCAACGAGAACCGUUUUCACUCUCUCUCCUCCGGGAAUGAACUGAGCCGGCUUAGAGUUAUUGGAUGGGAUGCUUGCGUCAGACUCUACUCGCCACUGAUUUGUCGCAGAAAUGCGUCAUGUCGACAGUUGUAUCUUUAGGAGGUCUAACCUCUCUGUCCGUGAUCCUUCCAUUGAAGCUGACAGAGGGAACCCUAUUUUACCAUUUUCACCCCUUUUUGCUAGUUGACUUUUAUAUGUUGUAACUCUGCUUCGGCAGUUUUGCACACGUUUAAUUAUUUGAACGUUAAAAAUACAACUCUUAGCAAUGGAUAUCUAGGUUCUC
rnacentral:misc_RNA from 1 species